CGGACGGGUGAGUAAUACAUCGGAACGUGUCCUAAAGUGGGGGAUAACGCAUCGAAAGAUGUGCUAAUACCGCAUAAUCUCUGAGGAGAAAAGUAGGGGAUCGAAAGACCUUAUGCUUUUGGAGCGGCUGAUGUCUGAUUAGCUAGUUGGUAAGGUAAUGGCUUACCAAGGCGACGAUCAGUAGUUGGUCUGAGAGGACGACCAGCCACACUGGGACUGAGACACGGCCCAGACUCCUACGGGAGGCAGCAGUGGGGAAUUUUGGACAAUGGGCGCAAGCCUGAUCCAGCAAUGCCGCGUGAGUGGAGAAGGCCUUCGGGUUGUAAAGCUCUUUCAGUUGAAAAGAAAAAGUCGUGACUAAUAAUCAUGGCUCAUGACGGUAUCAACAGAAGAAGCACCGGCUAACUACGUGCCAGCAGCCGCGGUAAUACGUAGGGUGCAAGCGUUAAUCGGAAUUACUGGGCGUAAAGGGUGCGCAGGCGGUUCUGUAAGUCAGAUGUGAAAUCCCCGGGCUUAACCUGGGAACUGCGUUUGAAACUGCAGAGCUAGAGUGCGGCAGAGGGAGGUGGAAUUCCAUGUGUAGCAGUGAAAUGCGUAGAGAUAUGGAAGAACAUCGAUGGCGAAGGCAACCUCCUGGGCUAGCACUGACGCUCAUGCACGAAAGCGUGGGGAGCAAACAGGACUAGAUACCCUGGUAGUCCACGCCCUAAACUAUGUCAACUAGUUGUCGGGUCUUA
rnacentral:rRNA from 1 species